CCCGCGCUGCGCUCGCCGGCAGCGGCCGACCCGGGCCGGGCCGGGGCUCGGCUCCAGCCGCAGCCGGGACGUGCAGCCGCCAAGGUGCUGCGCUGCAGGGGCUCGGGAGAGUCCCCGGUCCCCAAGAAAAUAAGUCAGUCUUCUAUUCAGCUGUGGCUUCUCUGCCUCUCCUCCUGUACUGAAUGCAAGUUUGAGUAAGGAAAGGAAACAUGAUGGGGGAAGUGAAGGGUUGUCUGUAGCUUUGGAGGUUCUCCUCUCCAGGACUCUGUCUCAUUCCCAAGGGCAUACCAGAGAUGAG